rnacentral:rRNA from 1 species
CGUAGGGUGCGAGCGUUAAUCGGAAUUACUGGGCGUAAAGCGUGCGCAGGCGGUUAUGUAAGACAGAUGUGAAAUCCCCGGGCUCAACCCGGGAACUGCAUUUGUGACUGCAUGGCUAGAGUACGGUAGAGGGGGAUGGAAUUCCGCGUGUAGCAGUGAAAUGCGUAGAUAUGCGGAGGAACACCGAUGGCGAAGGCAAUCCCCUGGACCUGUACUGACGCUCAUGCACGAAAGCGUGGGGAGCAAACAGGAUUAGAUACCCUGGUAGUCCACGCCCUAAACGAUGUCAACUGGUUGUUGGGAAUUAGUUUUCUCAGUAACGAAGCUAACGCGUGAAGUUGACCGCCUGGGGAGUACGGCCGCAAGGUUG